AUGACGGCUUCCUCUUUUGGCAGGAUACUAAGUCAUGGAUCAAAGCUUGUUAGCAGAGUUACUCCCUACCAAUGGCUCUCUGUCUUACGAGAAAGAUUUGUUUGCACAUCUGUAUUAUCUAAUGAAACCCAACGAAGAAAAUACUGUUUAGAAAAGGAAUCACUGGAUGUGGCAGGAAAGGAGGAAAAAAGCAUCAGUAAUGGAGUGCUUGUGCCACAGAACCUGCCAGAUAUUCAGGGCGAAUCACAGCAGCUGAGGACAGUCCUAGAAACAGGAGUGCAGCUGAAUCAGGUGAUGGCUUUGUUUAGUGGGAUGUUUGGGGCCUAUCUGAGAUAAAAUUCCCCCAGUAGAGAUCAAUCUGCCCAUUGUAAUCGCCUCCAUUUAGAGGAUGGUGGCCUCUUCCUCAAACCUUAGAUACUACUGUAGAGCUUCACUGGUCUCGUUAUACGAAGCUUGAGAAUCCUCUUCUCAAAGGUGUAGGAUUUGUUGUGUGAGCUCUCCUUAACAGAGACCUGUGGUUUUUUUUUCCUCACCUUUCAAUCCCAGAUCGCUCUAUUUCUGUGAUGGCACAAAGAGAGCAGAGGCAGAAAGGACCCAUAGAAACCUGCUUGUCUAUCUGUGAAUAUCAGUAUGAGUGAUAUGAGUGACAAAGAGCAAUACUGAAAUC
rnacentral:lncRNA from 1 species